rnacentral:rRNA from 1 species
UACGUAGGGUGCAAGCGUUGUCCGGAAUUAUUGGGCGUAAAGAGCUCGUAGGCGGUCUGUCGCGUCUGCUGUGAAAACUCAGGGCUUAACCCUGAGCUUGCAGUGGGUACGGGCAGACUAGAGUGCGGUAGGGGAGACUGGAAUUCCUGGUGUAGCGGUGAAAUGCGCAGAUAUCAGGAGAAACACCGGUGGCGAAGGCGGGUCUCUGGGCCGUAACUGACGCUGAGGAGCGAAAGCGUGGGGAGCGAACAGG